rnacentral:rRNA from 1 species
ACCCGACUAUUUUGACCAUGCUGAUCUUGUCAGAUCCUGGGAGCAAAGCAGGGUCAGGCCUGGUUAAUACUCAGAUGGGAGGCCACCAAGGAAUACCAAGGUUCUUCAGGUA